rnacentral:rRNA from 1 species
ACAAGUACCGUGAGGGAAAGUUGCAAAGCACUUUGAAGAGAGAGUUAAAGAGGACGUGAAACCGGUAAGGUGGAAACGGAUAGAGUCGGCGUAUCAUUCAAUUAUUCAGUUACAUUAUUUUUAUGUUGUGACCUCUGAGCUCCAGAUUGGGACAGAGGGAAUCAGCAUAAUUUUUUGUGGUGCAUUUACUUGAUUGGUGCUUGGGGAUGUUUGAGGCAGAUUUGUUUCCGUCGUUUUGAGGCCAGCUUGCUGGUACCCAAAUGGUGUUAGCAUUUUUUGUCUUGGGCAUUUGAGUAUGGCUCACGUGUAUUUAUUGGACAGAUCUGAGUGUAAGUUACGGUCGCAUGCGACACGUGCUUUUCAAUUAGUUCGGUCCAGUUAAUGCUCUCGUACUCGUUUCCCAUGUAAAAGCCGGUCAUCUAUCCGACCCGUCUUGAAACACGGACCAAGGAGUUUAUCGUGUGCGCAAGUUUUUGGGUGUUAAAAACUUAAAAGCGAAAUGAAAGUAAAUGACUCUUUAGAGUCUGAUGUGCGAUCUUGUAAAAAAGUGUAGCAUGGCCCCAUUCUAACUGUUUACAGUAGGGUGGCGGAAGAGCGUACGCGGUGAGACCCGAAAGAUGGUGAACUAUUCCUGAGCAGGACGAAGCCAGAGGAAACUCUGGUGGAAGUCCGAAGCGGUUCUGACGUGCAAAUCGAUCGUCUGACUUGGGUAUAGGGGCGAAAGACUAAUCGAACCAUCUAGUAGCUGGUUCCUUCCGA